CCUGAGGACAAAGCCCCCCCAGACCGGAGGCUCCUCUUCUCCUCUCCGUCUCUCCCCCUGCUCGCCGUGUGUUGGAUCCUCCUGCUGCUCAUCAUGGGCCUUCGUAUCUACUAAGGUAAGAACACCGAGCUGAAGAACGAGAUCCAGGAGCUGAAGACAGAGAACCAGGAGCUGAAGACAGAGAACCAGGAGCUGAAG